rnacentral:lncRNA from 1 species
AAAUCAGAUUGAGACGUGCACUUAGCAUUGCAGAUAUCGCACAUCCAUCUUGACGCUUCAGUUCCCUUGCCAUCUCCCUGCAGAGCUUCUAUGUUCUGUUGGUGCCUUCUGCUUCGGAGGUGACUCGAGAGUUCAGAUUGAGAUUUGCAGUUAGCACUGCAGAUGCUGCACAUCCAUCUUGACACUGGUGUCUGGUUAUUGUCCGCAAGCUGGGGCAUUUUCUUUUCAUGCAGCCUUGCUUCACUUCCCUUGCCUUCUCCCUGAAAAGCUUCUACGUUCUGUUGGUGCCUUCUGCUUCGGAGGUGACUCGAGAGGUCAGAUUGAGAUUUGCAGUUAGCACUGCAGAUGCUGCACAUCCAUCUUGACACUGGUGUCUGGUUAUUGUCCGCAAGCUGGGGCAUUUUCUUUUCAUGC